UACGUAGGGGGCAAGCGUUGUCCGGAAUCAUUGGGCGUAAAGAGCGUGUAGGCGGCCCGGUAAGUCCGCUGUAAAAGUCAAAGGCUCAACCUUUGAAUGUCAGUGGAUACUGCCGGGCUAGAGUCCGGAAGAGGCGAGUGGAAUUCCUGGUGUAGCGGUGAAAUGCGCAGAUAUCAGGAGGAACACCAAUUGCGAAGGCAGCUCGCUGGGACGUUACUGACGCUGAGACGCGAAAGCGUGGGGAGCAAACAGG
rnacentral:rRNA from 1 species